rnacentral:rRNA from 1 species
UACAGAGGUCUCGAGCGUUAGGCGGAAUCACUGGGCUUAAAGCGUGUGUAGGCGGAUCGUUAAGUACCUUGUGAAAUCCCACGGCUUAACCGUGGAACUGCUUGGUGUACUGGCGGUCUUGAGCCAGCUAGGGGCUACCGGAACAAAUGGUGGAGCGGUGAAAUGCGUAGAUAUCAUUUGGAACGCCAAUGGUGAAAACAGGUAGCUGGGGGUGUGCUGACGCUGAGACACGAAAGCCAGGGGAGCAAACGGG